rnacentral:rRNA from 1 species
AAACUAACAAGGAUUCCCCUAGUAACGGCGAGUGAAGCGGGAUGAGCUCAAACUUAAAAUCUCCAUGCAAGUUUUGUAUGGCGAAUUGUAGUCUAUGGAGGCGUGGUCAGUGUGGCGACUUGGGACAAGUUCCUUGGAAAAGGACAGCAUGGAGGGUGAUACUCCCGUUCAUAUCCUGAGUUGCUUACGCGUACGACCCGUUUUCUUUGAGUCGCGUUGUUUGGGAAUGCAGCGCAAAGUAGGUGGUAAAUUCCAUCUAAAGCUAAAUAUUGGUGCGAGACCGAUUGCAAACAAGUACCGUGAGGGAAAGAUGAAAAGAACUUUGAAAAGAGAGUUAAAGAGUACCUGAAACUGCUGAAAGGGAACCGAAUCGUUUCCAGUGUCUAUAAUCCGUGGUAUAUUUCAUUGGCGAGUGUGUGCGUGCGUGUACUGUGGCAGUGGCUUUUAGCUGCGCUGGGUAUGUGUGCUGUGUGUACUUGCUAGUGCCCUGUGCUACGGUGGGACGUCAAGGUCAGUUCGUAAACUGCGGGAAAUGGCUGCCGAGGAGGUAGGGCUUACGCUUGCGUUUGUCUAUUAUAUCUUGGCGGACGAGUAGUCGCGGUUGGGACUGAGGUGCCUACAACGUGCUUUUGAGUGGGUCUGCGUCUCCGUGUGCGCCGUGUGCGGAUAGCUUGCUAUGUGCGUGUGGCUGUGUAUGGAUUGAUGCGGACUUUAACUUGUGCCGUCGGACGU